GGAGCGGCCGAUGUCUGAUUAGCUAGUUGGUAAGGUAAUGGCUUACCAAGGCAACGAUCAGUAGUUGGUCUGAGAGGACGACCAGCCACACUGGGACUGAGACACGGCCCAGACUCCUACGGGAGGCAGCAGUGGGGAAUUUUGGACAAUGGGCGCAAGCCUGAUCCAGCAAUGCCGCGUGAGUGAAGAAGGCCUUCGGGUUGUAAAGCUCUUUCAGUUGAGAAGAAAAGAUUGUGACUAAUAAUUGCAAUUCAUGACGGUAUCAACAGAAGAAGCACCGGCUAACUACGUGCCAGCAGCCGCGGUAAUACGUAGGGUGCGAGCGUUAAUCGGAAUUACUGGGCGUAAAGGGUGCGCAGGCGGUUCUGUAAGUCAGAUGUGAAAUCCCCGGGCUUAACCUGGGAAC
rnacentral:rRNA from 1 species